GCGAGAGUGGCGGAACUGGUAGACGCGCUGGACUUAGGAUCCAGUCCCUUUGGGGAUGGGGGUUCGAGUCCCCCCUCUCGCACCA
rnacentral:tRNA from 1 species